AUGGCUUGGACCCCUUUUUUCCUUGUGCUCCUGGCUCACUGCACAGGUUCCCUGUCUCAGCCGGUGCUGACCCAGCCACCUUCCCUCUCUGCAUCUCUGGGAACUUCUGUGAGACUUACCUGUACCCUGAGCAGUGGCUUCAGAGUUGGUGAUUUCUGGAUAAACUGGUACCAGCAGAAUCCAGGGAACCCUCCCCGGUAUCUCCUGUACUACCACUCAGACUCAGAUAAACACCAGGGCUCUGGGGUCCCCAGCCGCUUCUCUGGAUCCAGUGAUGCCUCGGCCAAUGCAGGGCUUCUGCUCAUCUCUGGGCUGCAGCCUGAGGAUGAGGCUAUUACUGUAGCACAUGGCAUGGCAACUCUAAGUCUUACACUGUGUUCCAGACUCAUGAUGCAGUGA